rnacentral:rRNA from 2 species
UUUACAAAAACAUCGCCUCUUGAUUUAAUAUAAGAGGUCCAGCCUGCCCAGUGACAAAGUUUAACGGCCGCGGUACCCUAACCGUGCGAAGGUAGCAUAAUCACUUGUUCUUUAAAUAGGGACUCGUAUCAACGGCAUCACGAGGGCUAUACUGUCUCCUUUCUCCAAUCAGUGAAACUGAUCUUCCCGUGAAGAAGCGGGAAUUAUUGUAUAAGACGAGAAGACCCCAUGGAGCUUUAAACUCAAUAUAUACCUCUACGCAUUUAUAUCACUAUAGCCUAAGAAAAUUAUAUAUUAGUUUUGGGUUGGGGGGACCGCGGAGAAAAAAUUAACCUCCACGACAAAUAGGCCAACGCCUUUAUCUAUGAACCACAAUUCUAAGAAUCAAUAAACUGAUGUUUAAUGAUCCAAUUUUUUGAUCAACGAACCAAGUUACCCUGGGGAUAACAGCGCAAUCUACUUCAAGAGCUCCUAUCGACAAGUGGGUUUACGACCUCGAUGUUGGAUCAGGGUAUCCUAGUGGUGCAGCCGCUACUAAAGGUUCGUUUGUUCAACGAUUAAAACCCUACGUGAUCUGAUUCCAAAACCGGA